UACGAAGGGGGCUAGCGUUGCUCGGAAUCACUGGGCGUAAAGCGCACGUAGGCGGACUCUUAAGUCGGUGGUGAAAUCCUGGAGCUCAACUCCAGAACUGCCUUCGAUACUGAGAGUCUCGAGUCCGGGAGAGGUGAGUGGAACUGCGAGUGUAGAGGUGAAAUUCGUAGAUAUUCGCAAGAACACCAGUGGCGAAGGCGGCUCACUGGCCCGGUACUGACGCUGAGGUGCGAAAGCGUGGGGAGCAACAGG
rnacentral:rRNA from 1 species